rnacentral:rRNA from 1 species
GGGACGAACAGAGACGAAGUUACUGCUAAUACCGAAUGUUGUGAGUUUUCCUACAUGGAGGACUCAUUAAAGAAUGGCCUCUACUUGUAAGCUAUCACUUAGAGAUGGGCCUGCGUCUGAUUAGCUGGUCGGUGAGGUAACGGCUCACCAAGGCGACGAUCAGUAGCCGGUCUGAGAGGAUGAACGGCCACAUUGGGACUGAGACACGGCCCAGACUCCUACGGGAGGCAGCAGUGGGGAAUCUUCCGCAAUGGGCGAAAGCCUGACGGAGCAACGCCGCGUGAGUGGAAAAGAAGGUCUUCGGAUCGUAAAGCUCUGUCGAAGGGGACGAACGUAGUGCUUAUCAACAACGAGCGCUAAUGACGGUACCUUUCAAGAAAGCCACGGCUAACUACGUGCCAGCAGCGGC